rnacentral:pre_miRNA from 1 species
CGCCGGCGGCGGCCGAGAGUGAGGGUGGCGAGCGCGUGGACGCACCUCCCGACGUGCUGGUUGCCCGCGCUCUCGGGCGCGGCCGGACG